GAUGAACGCUGGCGGCGUGCCUAAUACAUGCAAGUCGAACGAAACUUCUUUAUCACCGAGUGCUUGCACUCACCGAUAAAGAGUUGAGUGGCGAACGGGUGAGUAACACGUGGGCAACCUGCCCAAAAGAGGGGGAUAACACUUGGAAACAGGUGCUAAUACCGCAUAACCAUAGUUACCGCAUGGUAACUAUGUAAAAGGUGGCUAUACUACCGCUUUUGGAUGGGCCCGCGGCGCAUUAGCUAGUUGGUAGGGUAAAGGCUUACCACGGCAAUGAUGCGUAGCCGAAUUGAGAGGUUGAUCGGCCACAUUGGGACUGAGACACGGCCCAAACUCCUACGGGAGGCAGCAGUAGGGAAUCUUCCACGAUGGGCGAAAGCCUGAUGGAGCAACGCCGCGUGGGUGAAGAAGGUCUUCGGAUCGUAAAACCCUGUUGUUAGAGAAGAAAGUGCGUGAGAGUAACUGUUCACGUUUCGACGGUAUCUAACCAGAAAGCCACGGCUAACUACGUG
rnacentral:rRNA from 1 species